AUGCUUCCAUGGUUUCUCAUGUUGAAAUUUUUAAGCUCUUCACCCAGAGGAUUUUUAAGUAUCAAGGUCUGUGAUAAUUCAGUGACCACCAGGGGGCAACAGGACUUUUGGGUGCCCUGGCCAAUCAAGUCCACACUGAACAAGAUCGUCGGCUCUUCCUUCUCUACCCUGUUGUUUUUCUGAGAAAAUGUAACAACUUGAACUGCAGCAAUAGGUCUUUUGUGUCUGGCCAAUGGGCAGCCCUGUUGAAGAUCUGAGGUCAGAAAGAGAAUUAACUUGGUAUUUAUUAUCUUGGCUCUCUCCCUGGAAUGGUCCAGUAACUGCUCCCUCUCUUCUCUCUUAGAUCAGGGGACAGCAGCUCCAUAGUUACUGGCAAGCCAGAGGUGCUGCACUGUUCUUUGUGCUUCCC
rnacentral:lncRNA from 1 species